rnacentral:tRNA from 4 species
GGAGAGGUGCCGGAGCGGCUGAUCGGGCUGGUUUCGAAAACCAGUGUGCGGGCAACUGCACCGGGGGUUCGAAUCCCCCCCUCUCCG